ensembl:snRNA U6 U6 spliceosomal RNA
UCGCUUUCGCAGCAUAUGUACUAAAAUUAGAAUGAUACAGAGAAGAUUAGAAUGGCCCUUGUGCAAAGACUAAACUGAAAUUCUUUAAACAUUACAUAUAAAA